rnacentral:rRNA from 1 species
GAUGAACGCUAGCGGCAGGCUUAACACAUGCAAGUCGAGGGGUAGAGUUCUUCGGAGCUUGAGACCGGCGCACGGGUGCGUAACGCGUAUGCAAUCUGCCUUUCACAGAGGGAUAGCCCAGAGAAAUUUGGAUUAAUACCUCAUAGUAUAAUGAGUUGGCAUCAACACAUUAUUAAAGUCACAACGGUGAAAGAUGAGCAUGCGUCCCAUUAGCUUGUUGGUAAGGUAACGGCUUACCAAGGCUACGAUGGGUAGGGUCCUGAGAGGGAGAUCCCCCACACUGGUACUGAGACACGGACCAGACUCCUACGGGAGGCAGCAGUGAGGAAUAUUGGACAAUGGGCGCAAGCCUGAUCCAGCCAUGCCGCGUGCAGGAUGACGGUCC